CGUGAAGGGGGGAGUCCCUGGUCAUGGAGGGUUGCCUGAGUGAAGGAAGCAUCCUUUGUGUUCAGUAAUUUAUAAGGAGGACAGAAGGGUGACGUGACAGGCCUCCUCCCAGCAGGACACCAGAAGUGGUGGUGACAAGCAGCUCCAGGACACCUCCCAGUGUGCCCCCUUGCUGUGGUUCUGCUCUGGCAUGUGUUCGCUCUGCCCCAGGACUCUCAGUGCCUUGAGGAGGGUCACGUUAUGGCACGUGUGUUGCAGCAAAAAGGCGCUCCCAGCCCAUUUCCAUCUUCAGUUAUUUCAAUGCGCCCCAUCCCCAUUUGCCGCUUGGCAGCUCUUCCUUGUCUUCUGCGCAUGGCGGCGUGCCGGGAUGGUGCCGAGACGCUAG
rnacentral:lncRNA from 1 species